AGUGAACGCUGGCGGUAGGCCUAACACAUGCAAGUCGAACGGCAGCACAGGAGAGCUUGCUCUCUGGGUGGCGAGUGGCGGACGGGUGAGGAAUACAUCGGAAUCUACUCUGUCGUGGGGGAUAACGUAGGGAAACUUACGCUAAUACCGCAUACGACCUACGGGAGAAAGCAGGGUACCUUCGGGCCUUGCGCGAUUGAAUGAGCCGAUGUCGGAUUAGCUAGUUGGCGGGGUAAAGGCCCACCAAGGCGACGAUCCGUAGCUGGUCUGAGAGGAUGAUCAGCCACACUGGAACUGAGACACGGUCCAGACUCCUACGGGAGGCAGCAGUGGGGAAUAUUGGACAAUGGGCGCAAGCCUGAUCCAGCCAUACCGCGUGGGUGAAGAAGGCCUUCGGGUUGUAAAGCCCUUUUGUUGGGAAAGAAAUCCAGCUGGCUAAUACCCGGUUGGGAUGACGGUACCCAAAGAAUAAGCACCGGCUAACUUCGUGCCAGCCGCCGCUGUAA
rnacentral:rRNA from 1 species